AUUUUUAUUUGUCAUAUAAAACGUCUAGAUUGUCCUUAUUUAUGCUCACAAAUAAAAACAAAAAUAGAGCGUGUAUCUUGAAAAGUUUUCUAAGUGUGUACGUAACGUGGCGUAGCCAUAGAAACGAGGUGGAUGCGUCAGUUAAAGUCACCUACUGACCUUCAACGUUCUUAGUGAGCAGCGACAGACGGUGAGAGCAGAGCUGUCAGAGCUGUGAGCAUCUUUGACCCGAGAAAGGAGCGAAAAGUUUACCAGAAAAAGACUUUUUAAAACAGGAGACCAGAAAAAGUCUGGAGAAUAUUUUGUGGCCUAUUGAUCAGUAAGAUGUGGGCCUCAGAACAGCACGUUCAGCCGGAACAGACUUUUUUUUACUGGCCUGAGGAUUAUGAUGAUGGGUACGGGGCCCAACAAAUAAAUGGCCAGUACGUUGCCCAACUGCUUCAGGACCAAACAACGUUCACUGACGACCAGGACGGGGCUCCAACCUAUGCAGACCUGACAACCAUUGAUGUCUUGUCUAUUGCAGAGGACUGCCACCCACAAAAUCCUUGCCCUACAACCAUCAACCCCAUUCCUAAUGAUGUGCACAUGCAGGCCCAACAACAUAUUGAGCUCCAAACCUUCAUCCCAUCGGCUGUGUCUGCUAUGACAGUAAGAUCUCUGUUUAACACAGUUCUUAAUGUAUUUCUGUAGAUCUUUGUAUUGAUACUAUGAUGGGAACUCUAACAUUCACAUGUUUUUGUGUCUCCAGUAUAAUGGACUUCCAGUGUUCACUGCAGGGAUGGAUCCACUUCCCACUUUUGGAGGACAGUAAGUAAAGCAAACAAACAGACUUGUUCAAACGCAGACGUUACUUCACAUGUGACAUGAUUUCUGAUCCAGUGUGUUUGUGUUUUAAUCUUUGUAGGAAUGAGAAUGACUUUGUUUCAAUCGUGCAACCAGAACCCCCAGCAGUCCCAGCAGUCCC
rnacentral:lncRNA from 1 species